GGGAAUAUUGCGCAAUGGACGAAAGUCUGACGCAGCGACGCCGCGUGGAGGAUGAAGGUUUUCGGAUCGUAAACUCCUGUCAAGAGGGAAGAAACCUAUUGAGAAUAAUACUCUCAGUAAUUGACGGUACCUCUAGAGGAAGCACCGGCUAAUUCAGUGCCAGCAGCCGCGGUAAUACUGAAGGUGCAAGCGUUAAUCGGAAUCACUGGGCGUAAAGCGCUCGUAGGUGGCUUUGUAAGUCAGAUGUGAAAGCCCACGGCUCAACCGUGGAAUUGCAUUUGAUACUGCAUCGCUAGAGUAUAGGAGAGGGAAGUGGAAUUUCUGGUGUAGGAGUGAAAUCCGUAGAGAUCAGAAGGAACACCGGUGGCGAAGGCGACUUCCUGGACUAUUACUGACACUGAGGAGCGAAAGCGUGGGGAGCAAACAGGAUUAGAUACCCUGGUAGUCCACGCCGUAAACGAUGGGUACUAAGUGUCGGAGGCUUGACCUUCGGUGCUGUAGUUAACGCGUUAAGUACCCCGCCUGGGGAGUACGGUCGCAAGGCUGAAACUCAAAGAAAUUGACGGGGGCCCGCACAAGCGGUGGAGUAUGUGGUUUAAUUCGAUGCAACGCGAAGAACCUUACCCAGGCUUGACAUCCUGCGAAUGUCCUAGAAAUUAGACAGUGCCCUUCG
rnacentral:rRNA from 1 species